GAUGAACGCUGGCGGCGUGCCUAAUACAUGCAAGUCGAGCGAACAGAUAAGGAGCUUGCUCCUUUGACGUUAGCGGCGGACGGGUGAGUAACACGUGGGUAACCUACCUAUAAGACUGGGAUAACUUCGGGAAACCGGAGCUAAUACCGGAUAAUAUUUCGAACCGCAUGGUUCGAUAGUGAAAGAUGGUUUUGCUAUCACUUAUAGAUGGACCCGCGCCGUAUUAGCUAGUUGGUAAGGUAACGGCUUACCAAGGCGACGAUACGUAGCCGACCUGAGAGGGUGAUCGGCCACACUGGAACUGAGACACGGUCCAGACUCCUACGGGAGGCAGCAGUAGGGAAUCUUCCGCAAUGGGCGAAAGCCUGACGGAGCAACGCCGCGUGAGUGAUGAAGGUUUUCGGAUCGUAAAACUCUGUUAUUAGGGAAGGACAUACGUGUAAGUAACUGUGCACGUCUUGACGGUACCUAAUCAGAAAGCCACGGCUAACUACGUGCCAGCAGCCGCGGUAAUACGUAGGUGGCAAGCGUUAUCCGGAAUUAUUGGGCGUAAAGCGCGCGUAGGCGGUUUUUUAAGUCUGAUGUGAAAGCCCACGGCUCAACCGUGGAGGGUCAUUGGAAACUGGAAAACUUGAGUGCAGAAGAGGAAAGUGGAAUUCCAUGUGUAGCGGUGAAAUGCGCAGAGAUAUGGAGGAACACCAGUGGCGAAGGCGACUUUCUGGUCUGUAACUGACGCUGAUGUGCGAAAGCGUGGGGAUCAAACAGGAUUAGAUACCCUGGUAGUCCACGCCGUAAACGAUGAGUGCUAAGUGUUAGGGGGUUUCCGCCCCUUAGUGCUGCAGCUAACGCAUUAAGCACUCCGCCUGGGGAGUACGACCGCAAGGUUGAAACUCAAAGGAAUUGACGGGGACCCGCACAAGCGGUGGAGCAUGUGGUUUAAUUCGAAGCAACGCGAAGAACCUUACCAAAUCUUGACAUCCUUUGACAACUCUAGAGAUAGAGCUUUCCCCUUCGGGGGACAAAGUGACAGGUGGUGCAUGGUUGUCGUCAGCUCGUGUCGUGAGAUGUUGGGUUAAGUCCCGCAACGAGCGCAACCCUUAAGCUUAGUUGCCAUCAUUAAGUUGGGCACUCUAAGUUGACUGCCGGUGACAAACCGGAGGAAGGUGGGGAUGACGUCAAAUCAUCAUGCCCCUUAUGAUUUGGGCUACACACGUGCUACAAUGGACAAUACAAAGGGCAGCGAAACCGCGAGGUCAAGCAAAUCCCAUAAAGUUGUUCUCAGUUCGGAUUGUAGUCUGCAACUCGACUACAUGAAGCUGGAAUCGCUAGUAAUCGUAGAUCAGCAUGCUACGGUGAAUACGUUCCCGGGUCU
rnacentral:rRNA from 1 species